ACUCUUCUUAUAUUCUCAUCUACAUCUUAGUAUAUUUGGCAAAUUUUGUUCAAGGAAGCAUUACCAUAAAACUUUUCAGGAGUUAUAAGAUUGGUCUAGUGGUGAAGGGAGAAGGAAAGGAAAUUGGAGGUUUGAAUUCUCUGCUAAUAAAAACUAGCAAUACUAACAAUUAAGAUUUAUUGAUAAAAAAACCAUCAAGCUUUUCAUCUUUAUCCUAAAACUAAGAAGAAUUCUAUGAGCAAAAAGUGUCAUCCCAGCUUUUCUAAUACAUUUUUUUCAAAUAAUUAUUGGGAAUGAUCUGUUUUUGAAAUUUUAUGUUAAUAGAAUAAGAAUUUAAAACAACUUUUGUUUAAUUAAAUUUAGAAAAAAUUGAUAAUCUUGAAUAAACUUGAUCUGGUGCAUAAAUUUUUUAGUAAAACCGAAUGUUAAUUAAUGUGAUAUCUUCUGUUUUCCCAUUUCCUUUAAAUUCAAAAUAACUUGAUAUAUUUUUGUUAUCUUUGCUUGCUAAUAUAAUUAACAGUUUUUGGUUUCCGCUGUUUUGCUCUCCAAAAAUCAAAUUCCGUCUUUCAAACUUUCUUCUUCUACGUUGCUGCACUGCACUGCGCCCUGAAGAAGAAGCGAGUUUGGUGUUGUCAAUGAGCUUCAUAUGUGUGGGAGGAAGUUCAAUCCAUGUGGUAACUGUACUUGUGUUAAAUUUUGCUUCAUGAAUUAUUAUUGAUUGGGAUUGAGGUACUGAUUUCUGUGUGCCUUCUCUAAAUUAUGUAACAGAAGCCAAGAAAAUUUAUCAAAGAAAAAUAUUUGUAUCUACAGAAGCCACAUGGGGGCCUGGUAACUGGGCUACUUGGCUCUGAAAAUUAGCAUUGUAAUUGUAAUUAUAAUUGGUGCUUUGUUAAAUAUGUGAUGAUGAAGGUUCCAGAGCUCCUUGGCUCUGAAUUUAGCAUUGUAAUUGUGUAUUUCUGUUGUCGCGUAUUUUAUCAAGAAAGGUUCAUGAGUCAAGACAUUUUGUUGGAUGCUUGGCAAUCUAGCAUCCACGAUUCCCAAGAUAUUUCAGUGUUCUAUCUUUUUUUUAUCGGUAAAUGUUAACUAUUAGGUUGUUACUUUUUGUUAGUCGGGGAGAUGGAACUCGUGACCUUUUUCUCCUUCUCUUUCUUCUUAACCAUCUAACCAACCUUAUGCUCUAUGAUAAUAUGUGAGCUACUUGUUUGAAAUAGCAGCCAUCAAAAUACUUAUUUGUUGGUUCCUCUUACUGGUGCUAUGCAUGUGUGAAAAUAGGUCAACCCUCAUAAGGACAUUUAAGAUGUGUUUGGAUAAAUAGCUUAGUUAAACAUUUAUUGGAUAAAUUUACCCUAUGAGAACUUAUGUCAUAAUUAUGAACAUAAAAUGAGAACAAAAUGAAUUAAAAAUAGCUUAUUUUGAUAAGUUUAGCCAAGAAACUAUUUUAAACAAGUUAAAAAGAGUGUGUAGGAGUUAUAAGCCAUUGUCAUAAGCACAGAUAAGCUCCACAAACUCCUCUAGAUGCUCCCUUAGUGAAUACAUGGAGGGUUAAAGAAUUGGAUUAGAAUUACUCUGAAUUAUGCAAUUUUAUUAGAUUGUCAAUGUUACGGGUGCAUAAUAAUUGAUACACUUCAAUUUUCAACAUGUUGAUAUGGUAGUGUUAGUCUGCCGUAGUUAAUUUCUGCUUCUGAUCAUAUCUUGAUUGGAUGUGCAACGAAGUUUUAGCCCAUGAACAGAUUGCUUCACCAACUAGCAGAAAAUCUGCUGCUUUGCUCCCGAAGAGCAUAUUGUUUUCUUGAAAUAUUGCAAAGAAGUACUAAAAUUCUGCAAGAAUACUUUUCUAUGUUUUUAAAAGGUUGAGUUAUGCAACUGACAUAUGAACAUAAAAUGAUGAGAAUCAUGAAACUGGCCAAAUACAGGCUAAAGGCCCAAGUGGAGAAGGACGAAGGCCCAAGUGGAGAAGGACGAAGGCCCAAGUGGAGAAGGAUGAAGGCCCAAGUGGAAAAGGAUGAAGGCCCAGAGGCAGAGACACUAUCAAGACUAUUAAUUGUUGCUGAAGACCCAAACUAAUUUGAAGGCCCAAGUUAAAUAAGUUUUUAGUUAUAAUUUAUUUUUUAUUGUAAUUUUGGCCCAAACUGUUUAAAAGGCCCAUGUCUAUUUUUAUCUUUUUGUUUAGCUACACUAUAAGUAUGGGUUUGUGUUUUGAAUAAAAAAGACUUUUGGCAUUUUGAUCAAAUUUGGUGAGAGUUUCUCUUCGGGUUCCUUGUUGAACCAAUUAUCAGACUUAUCAAGGUAAUCCUUGUGGCGUCUACCCAGACUUAUCUUCCUUUACUGGAAGUGGCGUCUACCCAGACUUAUCUUCCUUCACUGGAAGUGGCGUCAUCCAAACCUUCGUAGCCUAUAUCAAACGAUCCGCCCCGUAAGAUUCACAUCAUUUGGUAUCAGAGCUUCGACUCUUGAUACAGGUUCUAUCUUAUCCUAUUAUUUUUCUUUGUAAUUUGUCUUGGUUCGUGUUUUGUCCUUGUUCUGUUAUUUGUUUUUCUUGUUUGCGUCUUGUUGCGUUCUUGUUUGUGUCUUUGUUUCGUUCUUGUUCUUGUCACGUUUGUGUUCUUGUUGUUGUUCUUGUUUCUAGUGUCUUUCAGACUUUGUGUCGUAAAAAAAAAAUUGUUUGGGUUCUGUUUCAAGUAAAAAAAAAAGUUGCAGAAAUUUUGAAGAAAAAAAAAGAGAAGAAAAGAAGAAAGAGAAAAAAGAGAAAGUGGGUGUUUGAUCUUUCAACACGAAAUUGAGGCAGUUAGAGGCUUUUUUUUGGCAGAAAAUCGUGUACCAAAUCCCCUUAUCUAGAUUCUCCUCUGAAUUCUGAGCGUUUUGAUAUAUAGUGGGCCUCAAACGGACAACCGUAGCAAAAGUUAUGAGCAUUUGAAGUUUACUUGUCAUAUCUGUUAUCUUAUCUGUUAUCCUAUCUGUUAUCUUAUUUGUUAUCAUAUCUGUUAUCCAAAUUAAAUCUAAUUUGUUAUCCAAAUCUGAUCUAUUAUCCAAAUCAAAUCAAAUCAAUUUUUUUAUCCAAAUCAGAUUUGUUAUCCAAAUCUAAUCUGUUAUCCAAAUCAAAUCCAAUCUGCUAUCCAAAUCAAGUCCAAGUUGUUAUCCCAAAUCAAAUCUGUUACUCUGAUAAUUAUAUUGUCUUUCCUUUUAUUUUAUAUUACCUUGUGUGUCUAAUUCAAUCCAUCCAGGAACUUAAGAGGGAGUGAGUGGUAAAAGGCAAGAGUGAAAACAUCACACAAAAGCCUAUAUUGAGAGCAUCAAACACGAGUGAACUACCAUUAAAGAGAGAAACACGUGAGUAGAGUGUGGUGAGGUCCUGAAUUUUUUUUAAUUUACUGCAAAAUUCUUUGUUCCUUAAUCAUGGCAAGAGCUGGUGACAAUGGUGGUGUAUAUCAUCAACUAGAACGAAUCUCAACGCUUAUUUCUGGACGCGUGGACUACACAAAUGCAACGUUUGUUGAACCGUAACAAAGAAAAGCCUUACAGACGAAUAGCCAAAUCUUCCUCAUUUACUCUUAAACCUCUAUCCCCUAGAGAAGUGUGUGAUGACCAAAUCAGAAUUGGAGAAAAGAGAGAACAAGAGAAAGAAAAUAGUGAGGCACCACAAAGGAAUAUGAAAAAGAAGAGUGAUACACAUGAGAGAAAAUUUAAUUAUUUUGCAGAGGCGAGUGAAGUGAGGAAAGUGUUACCUGCUCAUGAACCACUCAAUCUACAGUAUUGCAAAGACAGUAAAAUUUCUACUGAUAAUUCUAAUGAGUUUACUAUUUCUAUUUCUCCUAGUGUUCAACCAUUAUUGCAGGAAUUUAAAAAUGUCUUUCCUAAGGAGAUUCCUCAUGGACUACCACCUUCAAGAGACAUAGAACAUCAAGUUGAUGUCCUCCCCGGAGCUUCAUUGCCUAACAGGCCAACUUACAAAAGCAAUCCCCAAGAGACUCAACGUAAGGAUGCACAUGCCAAAGUUGAGUAUGUGAAAAGAUUGUAUGACCAAGUGAAGGUGCAAAUUGCAAAGAAGAAUGAAAGCUAUGUCAAGCAACCCCACAAGAAAAGGAAGGAAGUGGUACUUGAACCCGGUGAUGAUCCUGAACAUUUGAGGACAAAUGUUUUCCAAGAAUGAGGGAAUGAUGAGAAUCAUGAAACUGGCCAAAUACAGGCUAAAGGCCCAAGUGGAGAAGGACGAAGGCCCAAGUGGAGAAGGAC
rnacentral:lncRNA from 1 species